rnacentral:rRNA from 1 species
UACGGGGGGGGCAAGCGUUGUUCGGAAUUACUGGGCGUAAAGGACGCGUAGGCGGCCUGCUAAGUCGGAUGUGAAAUCCCUCGGCUCAACCGAGGAACUGCAUCCGAUACUGGCGGGCUUGAAUCCGGGAGAGGGAUGUGGAAUUCCAGGUGUAGCGGUGAAAUGCGUAGAUAUCUGGAGGAACACCGGUGGCGAAGGCGGCAUCCUGGACCGGUAUUGACGCUGAGGCGCGAAAGCUAGGGGAGCAAACGGG